UUCCCGCUGCCAAAUACCUAAAUCCUCUUUUACAAGUUGCGUUGCUUCAACUUACCCUUCUCUCCUGCAAAACCCCUAAACGCACCGCCGCAACCUCACCGCCGCCGCUGCAACCUUCAACGAGCAACCUAAACGCACCGCUGCAACCUCACCGCCGCUGCCGCUGCAACCUUCAACGAGCAACCUAAACACACCGCCGCCGCAACCUAAACGCACCCGCCGCUGCAACCUUCAACGAGCAACCUAAAUGCACCGCCGCGACAACCUAAACGCACCGCCGCAACCUCAUCGUCGCCACCGCUACAAUCUUGAAUCAAGGUAUGCAGGUUUCUGCAAUUUUUCUUAAAAAUCCCCAAUUUUCUUUGCAAUUUUUCUGCAGUUUUGUGUUUUUGCUUAAAAAGCCCCAAUUUUUCUUCAAUAUAAAUGAGAAUAUUGCAAUUUUUCUUAAAAAUCCC
rnacentral:lncRNA from 1 species